rnacentral:lncRNA from 1 species
GACGAGUUCCAUCACACCAGCAGCAGUUCAGGUCCAUGCUCGUCCUCUCUGCUCAUCUUGUGUCGUUGUUCAAAUUCAGAAAUCCACACUAGCUUGUAUAGUAGCAAGCCUGAAAGUACAGGAGCUCAUGUACACAAGGAUUUUUUUUUGUAUGUGACAUUAGUGCAGAGCAUGUGCAGUUUCAGAUUCCACAUAGAGCAUGUUUCAGUUUCAGAUUCAGUCAUGGUCAUAUGAACAGACAUUCUAGUUCAGUCUAGUUAAUUAGUACACCUGUUCAACACUCAGAUAGGCAAUGGAUAGUUCCCAAGUUGGUGGCCAAGUUGGCUCUUUAGAAAAUCCUGAUCAUCGAUUAAAUGGUAGGAUCCACAAGUUGACAUUUUGUAACGGGGUAAGCAAACAGGACAACAUUUGCCUAUCAUUCAUUGGCAUAAUACAGAAUCGAAACCCUAGGUUUAAAAAGAAUGUGUUGCUUCCAAGGACACAAGUAACAAGGAAAUUGCGACCGAAAGUGUAAAGCCACUUAGAAAUUUUGUUUUUGAAUCACAUCCUAUAAACCAAAGGGAAUUGCAUCAUUAAACAAAGAAUACAAAGAUUUUGUGCAUGAAAGACUUUAAUUAAAAAUUAAUGUAGAUAUUCAAUGCGGAUAAAAGUAGUAAAUGUACCGCAAUUUGCCGUAUAGAGAACAACCAAAAAAAUUGUUUGAUACAUCUCCGCUAUGUAGAUAAAGUAAUAAAAUUGAAAACGGUGUGGAAACCGUCUACGGGGAAAAAAUCACACCACGCCAAAUCCUAUUAACUCUACCCUAAGUCUAGCACCACACAACUAUAGUGCGGAACCAUCGUCUCCUGAGACAUCUCCGCUGUCCUUGUGUCCGUCGUCACCUCCGAGGUAGACAUCUUCUAAAUCAUCUUCUAAGUCAAACUGCUGGUAUGGCCUUCGGAACUUUCAACUCAUUGUGAGGUGAAUUGAUCAACGCAACAGCAAGCCAUCUUCUGAACUGUCUUAUGUCAUCCUGCAUAGGAGGUAGACGUUAGGCCCCUUUUGUAUAUGUGAAAGUUAAGUUAGAUAGGGAAGAUGUAGGUGCCUGGUUGAAUAUUGCCGACAAUCUCACUCCAGUCCAACAUUGGAUGUAUUUCAACACCCAGAGAGCACAGGAACACCCAUCUGUUUGCUGUGGCACUUCAUAGUCUGUGAUAGGCCACGAAGCCACUUGAGUGUCCGACCAUCUACUUCCUUGCAUUCCAUUUUCCAUCACUGCUAUAUCAAUAUGUGUUUCCAUUCCAAGAAGCUGCAAGUAACAUAUCACUCAAUUUAGUACAUUAUUCAUAUAAACUGUAAGUUAUAUAAAAUGUUGUUAGAGCCUCACCGCAGCAAUUACUUCUUUGCGGUUGUUGCGUGAUUGGAGUGACUCCAGAAUUUGAAUCUCCCUCUUUUGGGAGUUGACAACAGCCAGGAACCAGUGGUGGUUGGGAAUAUUUGAAGGUAGGAAAAUCUGCGUGCAAAAUUUGUAAGUGGUUUGAAGUGACUAAAAUUAAAAUUUCUUAUUAAUAUAACAGAAGGGUGGAUGUUGUUACCAUGUCAUGUUUCAGGUAGUUAUCUCCCCAUUUAGUGCCUGAUUUGCCGCUUAAAACAUCCAAGGUACAAUUUGGGACUGUGCCAUCUCUCUUCAGGAUGUUGACAAUGGUCGACCUUUCGACAUACACGGUACCAUGGUCUCGUACACCUUCUAGUCCGUCCAGGCAUAGGAGUUCAAUUGCCGCAUCGAGUACCUAAGAAAGAAGAUAUUAGUUUAAUUGGAAAACAUAUAAAUAAUCAAAGAUACUAUUUUGCGUUAGCACUUACAUCGUCAUCCACACAAGCUGCAAAGGAGGAAUGAUCUGGUGUUGUCAGGCAUUUAAGAUACUUCUGUGUUAGAAGUAUGUCCUUGAUCUUCACCAACUUGGCGGUCUCAGGAGUACUGUUUACAUAGUCAGCUACUAUAUUCUGUGUAACUCGGUCUGUUUCUGCCUGAAAAUUGAUCAAGUCCUCCUUGAGUUGUUUUAGCUGUUGGGCGCUGCUUUUCCCGGGAUUCAUCUUCUUAUUCUGUGUGUACAUAACAUCGUUACUGUCAUGUGUCUGUUGAGAUAGAGCUAUUUUCCUUUUGAGCGUGGGGGUGUAAAAUUCGUAUUCCUCACUCUAAAGGAACGAAGACUUCUUUUUCUUCCGGCUGUCAUGUCUGACACGCCUCCCUAUGGAGUCCAUGGCAUCCAUGGAUGUAUGCUGACCUUCUGCGAUAUUUGACUUAAGGUUAGGAGUAUGGGUUGAGAAAAACGUUUGUUAGCAAUUUGGUUGAGAUGUGAUGCAGACCUCAGAUUCGGAGGAUAAGUUCUUGCUAUCGUCUCUUUCAGUGUUUGACUUCUGUGGGUGUGCAUAUGUUUUCUUCACCUUCUGCAAUGUUGUCAUCAAGUUAAGAAUAUGGUUGAAAUAAAUCCUUUCCUAGCAAUAUAGUUCAGACAUGUGAUGCUGACCUCAGAUUGGGAGGGUAAGUUCUUGCUGUCACUCCUAAAACGCUUACCAAAUGAGUCCACAACGUCAUCUCUGUCUGUUUUUCCUUUGUGGGGGUCCACAAGUGUUAUCUUUACCUUCUGUACAGAUGGACAAGUUAGCAGUAAGUAUGGUUGACAAAAAAACAUUGUACCAACAUGGAAUUCAUACCUCAAAUUCCCGAGCAAGGUUCUUGCUGGGGUUGCUGUAGACACACUUUGGCACUUCAUUUGUACUAGCAGCAACAUUCUUUGAGGUUUUCUAGUUCGCACGUUAAAAUAAAAAAUGGUUAGCAUACAUUCUCUGACAUGAAGACAGUUAGAAAUUGUGUGACAUACCUUGAUAUUAUUAUCAACUCUCUGACCCUCAUUAAAGUCCUUCUGUCCUACGCCAAAUCGAUGAUCCUAUUAAUGAAAAAAUGUUAGUCAUGCACUUAUCUAGAAGGAUGAAUUACAAAAAAAGAAGAACAAAUGCAUACAUUGAAUGCACAAAUGAAGUCCUCCAAGCGCAUGUUGUUUUGCUUCUGGCGCCUUUCUACUCCGUCCAGUUGUGCGGAAAUCUCCGAAUAUUGCUGACACACCAUUGCUUUUAUCUCUCCCACCUGGGCGAGUAUGCGGCCUAGUGUCCCAUCGACCUACAAGUUAAGAUAAAUUAGAACUGAUUGUUUCAUAAAAAUAUUUGUACAAACAAAUAGUUUCAACCUAAGAAACGAGUAGUAUCAUUGUACAAGUUACAUAGGACGUACCUCAAAAGUAGACUUUGUAGGUUGAUGUGAAGCCUUCGGCACUGGCUUCCAAGGGUGCCUGAGGUCGUCUACCAUCUGCAAUUUUUUUAUAUUAUGAGUCAUUUUGCAAAAACUGAGCAGAUGACAACUAGCAACAGUAAGCAUAUACUUGUCCUACUCCUACGUAGUUCUGCGAUAUUAUUUUGUCGACCUUUGCUGCCUUUGAUUCGUCCCAGUAUUGGAUCAAUGGUUUAUCUCGUUGAAGAUAGGAAAUGGUGCGAUCAAUAUGGUCGACUCGGAAUUUCUCAUAGAACCAAGUAUGGGAGAGAAUUAAAAAGAAUACAUAAGUGACCAAUUAAAGAAUAUCAUAGGAAAUAAUGAGUUUGUACUACCUGCAAUAGUGGGAGGUUCCCCUCCAAGUUCACGACACCGUUCACAAACUUCCUCACACAGUCACACUUGACAUUAAGUGGUCAAGAGAUAGUUUAGCAUAAUUUAUGGAGUUUAUAGUAUGCAUGUCGAUAACAAUUCCCAAAUAUUUGGGAUUAACAUAGGGUUGUGUCGUUGGGCAAACCAACUUGCCAAUGGUGUACAAGACGUAAGGCUUCACAAACCGUGGCCUCUCUUCGCCGAUCAUCUUCUUACGAAGACCUAAAAAGGUUGUUUGUCAAGUAUUGUAAUUAUGAAAUUUGUUCCAUUAUCAAACGAAAAAAUAGUUCUGAAAAUAUCAUAUACCUUUCAACAGUUUGUUAUCGGUAUAAUUUUACUGAGAAAUAAAAAUAUAACUUUACUGUAGGUACCACUGAGAAAUAAAAAUAUAACUUUACUCUACUCAUUCGUUGACGUACUAUAUUGCUGGCUAAUUAGUUUAAGACGUGCCAGGCUGAAGUAAUGAUUUGAUUAAUGUAACGUGUACUUAAGCUAAUCUUUUUUAUGUAAUCUACUGAUCUUUUUUUACGUAAUGUAAACAGGAUGUAAUCGGGAAUGUCAUUCAAAAAAAGGAAAUCGGGACUGAUCUACACAAGAGGCGUCAUGUGGAUCUAUAGUAGGCUAUGGUAAAUCGGGACUGAUAUGUCAUGCUGAUCUACACGAGUUGGUGUACGGGUUCAAUGAGAUAUGUAUACCUUCUCUGCCGACGAGUGUGGCUGCUUCGGUGCACCUGACUUUGUCGAUGAAGGUGGGGGCUUCGAUGCAUGUGACUUGGACUGCUUCGUGACCGACUGUGCAGGCCUCACGGACGCAGGAUGAUAGGAAGACAUAUGAUGGUGAUGGUGAUGGUGAUGGCGAGAUUGGUUGGUUCUGCUCAAGGUUCAAGGAUGGGAUUCAAGGAGGGAGGCUGGGCUGUGGUGAGGUUUAGGUCGAUGCGUACAAAGCAUAUAUAUAGGCUGGGUACACGAUCGUGUAGGUUACAAUCUAGUUUUUUUUUUAACAGAACAAGGCACCAAGAGGUGCCCAAUAUCAUUAACAGCUCAUAACAACAGUACAAGAGAGAGUACAUAUGGCUUGAGAAGAUAAAGGGAAAGGGGAAACAACCAAAGAAAAGGAGCUGUUAAAUG